rnacentral:lncRNA from 1 species
UCCUUAUGAGUGAAUAGGUAUUUGAGGCUCUUGUGAUCCGUGUAUACUUCACAUCGCUCGCCAUAUAAGUUGUCACGCCCCGGGACCGGCGGAGGCCCUCCCGGAAGCGCGCCCAGACCCGCCAUAUGCCUGCGCAUAUAAGGCGUCUACAACAAAAGAGAUGCGAAAGCAAGAAAAAACAAGUAUCUAGAGAUAUCAGAGCUGCUAACAACUAAAAACUAGCAACAAGUAGAGUAGUCCACUAAGCAUAAGCAUAAAAAGGUACAAUAAAAAUCUCAAAGAAAUCCACAGUGGGGUGGUCUCUAUACACAGGUAACUCUUCAAAACCUCUCCAAAAUAAAACGACGAGAGGUAGGCCACCUAUCAACGCG